AUUGAACGCUGGCGGCAGGCCUAACACAUGCAAGUCGAGCGGCAGCGGGAAAGUAGCUUGCUACUUUUGCCGGCGAGCGGCGGACGGGUGAGUAAUGCCUGGGAAAUUGCCCAGUCGAGGGGGAUAACAGUUGGAAACGACUGCUAAUACCGCAUACGCCCUACGGGGGAAAGCAGGGGACCUUCGGGCCUUGCGCGAUUGGAUAUGCCCAGGUGGGAUUAGCUAGUUGGUGAGGUAAUGGCUCACCAAGGCGACGAUCCCUAGCUGGUCUGAGAGGAUGAUCAGCCACACUGGAACUGAGACACGGUCCAGACUCCUACGGGAGGCAGCAGUGGGGAAUAUUGCACAAUGGGGGAAACCCUGAUGCAGCCAUGCCGCGUGUGUGAAGAAGGCCUUCGGGUUGUAAAGCACUUUCAGCGAGGAGGAAAGGUCAGUAGCUAAUAUCUGCUGACUGUGACGUUACUCGCAGAAGAAGCACCGGCUACUCCGUGCCAGCCGCCGCCGUAAAAC
rnacentral:rRNA from 1 species